rnacentral:tRNA from 1 species
GGGGGAUUAGUUCAGUGGUAGAGUGCCCACUUAGCAUCCAAGAGGUCCUGGGUUCAAUCCCCAGUACCUCCA